GGCGGGGUUGGCUCUAACGAAUUUGAAUGAGGAGCCUCAGCGCUUUCGGCGCCAUUUUCGAGUGAUGCCUGAUCUCAUCAAUCUAGCGGGAGAGACAGGAUAACCUGUCCGAGAGUAUAGCGCCACUAUGACUCCGCCGGAAAAAUUACUUUAAAAAUCGCCAAAAAUUACUUGGAGCAAAGGGCAGUCGGCGGAGCUUCGCCAAGGCUGGCGCAGUCGGUUUUGACCUGUAGCAGAGAACCAAUUCUGGAGAACAGCCUCACUUCUUUGAUUGAAUACUUACAUAAUGCAUUGGAACAUGACAUGAGAUUAAGGUUUAAUAAUGAUAGAAUGAAGACCACAAUAAAAGAGACCUCUACUUAGCUCAGCAAUUCUUACCUUUCUUACCUAUUUGAUGAAGAUGUCUUUUGAAAGGUGUACUGCAAGGAACAAAAUGUUUGUAAAUUCUCCUUUUACCAAGGUAAAGAUCAAAUUUUAUAAAUUUACUUGUUUGUUUAUACAAGGAAAAAUAACUUCAUAUAUUGAAUAUAUUCAAAAGUUUAAGCAUUUAGUUGUAUUGCCCUGUUAAGUUGGCAUAGCAAAUAAAUGCUUUUCUUUUCCUCAUUUUAUUCUUUGUGUUUCCUAACCUAUAGCACUGUGCUGGGCACAGAAUGGACUUCAGUUAAGUUUUUGAUGUAGAAAUGUUUUAUUAUUCUACUUAAAAUCUCCUUAAAAAUAAUUAUGCAUAUUACAUCAAUGUUAUAAUGUUUAAACAUAGAUUUUUUUACAUGCAUUCUUUUUUUCCUGAAAGAAAAUAUUUUUUAUAUUCUUUAGGCGCGAAUGUGUGUUUAAAAAAAAUAAAACCUUGGAGUAAAG
rnacentral:lncRNA from 1 species